AGGUAUCGACUCUCUCCGGGUAAGAGCUCGUUGGCCCUAUUUGCUGCCUUGUGUUGUUCUUCCGUUCCUCCGCGGCCCGCACCCCUUCGGCCCGCAUUUUUUCUUUGAGUUUUUUCCAGUUUUCGGUGUGAACCACCCGCUUUUCUCUCUUUGCUCUGUUUUGGCCUGCAGACAAACUCUCUACGAACAGCCUCCCACCCACCCACCCUCUAUACGCAUACAGACAGACAUAGAGGCGCACCGGGGCAAAUACGGUCCCUCGUCGUCGCGUCGCUCUUUUUCAAGCCGGCAGCAAACCGCACGCCUUUUUGCGUCCGCUCUUUGCGUGCAGCGAGGCACUUGUCCUCAGUAAAGGCACCGAGCUUCGUUUCUCCAGUAUGCCGCCGAAGGAAGUCGAGCAUGGCAGCGCAUCGACGGAGCUGCUGAACCAGUACGCCAAGUACUUCCCACAUGUCCUCUUCACCAGCCAUGAAGCCUUCGAGAAGCAUGCCGCGACCCUCGAUCCUGAGGCGUACAAGAACUGCGUAGAUCUGCCGGAAGGCGAGGAGCCGCCAGAGUCAAACCCGCGGGAGCACAUGUAUGUGCUGACGACGCUGGUGGGCCGCAACCCGACCACCGCCGCCUUUGUGGCCACGCGCGGCUCGGACCCGUCGGAGAAGGUUGUGGCCAAGUUUGUCAUGCUGAACGAUGACCGGCAGGCCACGUACGCCCGAAGUGAGCUGCACUGCCUUGCCGCGUGCAAGCACUUUGGCAUUGUAAAGCACUUCGACGACUUCAAGUCCGACGACAAGCUGUUGCUUAUUAUGGAGUACGGCAGCGGCGGCGACCUCAACAAGCAGAUCAAGCAGCGCCUGAAGGAGCACCUGCCUUUUCAGGAAUACGAGGUCGGGCUUCUAUUCUACCAGAUUGUGCUGGCCUUGGACGAGGUGCACAGUCGCCGCAUGAUGCACCGUGAUUUGAAAAGUGCCAACAUCUUCCUCAUGCCCACCGGCAUCAUCAAACUCGGCGACUUCGGCUUCUCCAAGCAGUACAGUGACUCCGUCUCGCUCGAUGUGGCGUCGUCGUUCUGCGGUACCCCGUACUACCUUGCCCCGGAGCUGUGGGAGCGCAAGCGGUACAGCAAGAAGGCCGAUAUGUGGUCCCUCGGUGUCAUUCUGUAUGAACUGCUCACCCUGCACCGUCCCUUCAAGGGGCCGUCGCAGCGCGAGAUUAUGCAGCAGGUGCUCUACGGCAAGUACGACCCGUUUCCGUGCCCUGUGUCGAGCAGCAUGCAAGCGUUGCUGGACCCGCUGCUGUCAAAGAACCCGAACGAGCGGCCGACCACGCAGCAAUUGCUGCACACAGAAUUCCUCAAAUACGUGGCAAACCUGUUCCAGGAUAUUGUGCGUCACUCCGAAACCAUCUCGCCUAGCGAUAGGACAGAGAUUCUGAGGCAGCUGCAGGAGAGCGGCGAGCGAGCCCCGUUGCCGUCGUCGAUCCGCUAUGGCGUAAUGACCUCACAGGUGACCCACGGCGGGUAUCUGUACAAGUACGGCUCUGACUACCGCUGGAAGAAGCGUUACUUCUACAUUGGUGACGGCCAGCUGCGCAUCUCGCUGAGCGAGAACCCCGAGAAUGACGGCGUGGCCCCCAAGUCCGUUAACCUGGAGACGGUGGGUGACGUCUUCCCUGUACCUGAGGUGUACUCGCAGAAGCACCCGAACCAGCUGGUGCUAUGGUUCAACAACGGCCAGAAGAUCAUCGCGUACGCCAACACGAUGGAGGACAGGGACAUGUGGAUCUCAAAGUUUCACCGCGCAUGCGGUAUGUAACGGCACGGGCCCUGGCUGCACAAAGAGGAAGAAGUGUAGCUGCAGGGUGCAAGAGGGAGGAGGAGGGGGAGGAAGACGGCAAGAGUACAGCUCCAUCCAUGAGACAGGCUACAAACGGUCCCGCGCGUUGAAGUGGCGGAAACAGAAGGAGAAAGUCACGUUUGCACCAAGCUGGUCUGUUUGUUCUUCUUGUCGCGCUGCCGCUGCGGCUCUCUCAUUCUUGCUUGAAGCGUGUGUCGAUUGCGGCUUGUACGUGGCCGUGUCUCUCCCUCUCUAUGCAUCGUUGUGUGCCACACGUCGGUCAGCAACGCCAUCGAGUGGCUCGUCCUCAAUCUCCCUUUCUUCGUUGUUGUCUAUCGCGUCCACCACUGUGCGUGUGCCCUUGCUCAUUUGGGCACCGCUUGUUUUCUGUUUCUACAUGUACCGCCAUCACCCGCCGCCCUGUGCGUCUCUUCGCCUUCUAUACGCAGUGGUCUACUUGCUUUGCACCCUCUCUCUCUCUCCCUCUGUGUAGUUGGAUUUUUCUGUUCGCCCUCUUCUCAUAUCCAUCCCCCAAUUCUCUGUGGAGCACUAGCAGGGAAGCGCGCACAUGCAAAGUCUUGCCGCGCCAAGCGCCCUAAGAAUACGCGUAAGAGUCAAGAGGCAACGCGAGGACAGCCAGAAAGACGAAGAAGUGUCAGUGUGCGCUUAUCCGUUCGCCCCUUUCUCCCUCUCUCUCGCUGGUGCCGUUGCCGAUGGGGUUGCUGUGUUGGCACCUACCGUGUCUCUGAGUGUGCUCGAUGUGGUUUCCUUUUCUUGCUUGCUCGUGUUUUUUCCGUUGUUUUUCGUUCAUCCACCUGUUGUUCUCGCUAUUGCCUGAUUGUCUUCUAUCAUGUGCUCUCACCCUUUCUCGCUCGUUCUCUCUCAGCACAGCCCUCGAUCGCCAUGCUCACCCAAAGCUGUUUCACUCGCAUUUUUCGGAGAGGGCAGGGGUGUCUCCGUGUCUUCUCUUUUUUCUCUUGGUCUUCGUUUUCCCGUUGAAUUGCUUUGUUUCCGUCCCAGUCGCGUGCGCCAACGAUGCAAGUGGAUGACGGGCUUCUGCUGUUGUGGUGAGACGAGGCGUGCGCAUGCAAAAAGUGCCGAGAAACCUCACUCCCCCUCGCUCGCAACGGCAUGUUUUAAGGCUCAAAUAGUUAUCCUCUCGUUUGCGUGUUUGCAUGUUGUUUCACUGAAUAUUCGAGUGAAUAUUUCCCCGAUGCUUUUCCUUUGUCUCGUUCUUUCUCCUUUUCCCCACCUCCCCUAUGUCACCACCUCUCCUCCACCCGUCGCCUUUUCUGGUCCUGCAGUCCACCGUCUCGAGAGAGAGAGACACGGCACCACUUCAACCUCGUUGCCUCUGUCAUCACUCCCCUUUCCUCGCCCACCUUCUAUUUCCGUUUCAGGCGAUGCACUGCAAUCUUUUUUAUUAGUUGUGUUCAUGGUGGGUGAGCCCUUUCGAUACUGCUGCUGCCGCUGGUGCGGCAGGCAGAAGCACACAUGCACGCGCACCGCUCUAGUUGUGUUGGUACUCCAGCUCGACUUCUGCGUAACGAGGUCGCCGACUUUGUCGCUUUUUUUUCACCUGUCGCUCUCCUCUCGUGCACGGUCAGUCACGAUGUGCACUCCUGUGCUUUACCUGCGCACGUCUCUCACCACGGCUUUGCCUCUCUCUGUGUGUGGAGCCCCGUGAAAGCGCGGAUGUACCGGCAUGUACUUUGUGUGCGCACUCACUUGCAUGACUUGAAACGCAAGAUAAUGGUGAUGUACAUAACCAACCACUGGUCGGAGACCCCGCCCCCUGCUCCCAUGCCGUCUUUAAGCGCGUUUAUACACACGUGGCAUGAUUCCUGCCACUCUGUUUAUCAAAUGACUCAUGUGCAACUCCUCCCUGCUCUCUGCUCUCUGUGUCUCGUCUUUUUUUUUUUCGCCGUCAUCGUGCUGAACGCCAGUUGUUCUCUGCCUGUUGGAUAGCGCCCCCCCUCCCUCUCUUUUAAUUCUGCUCUCUGGUUUGAGUCGUGUUUGUGUUGUGCUCUUCUGUCUAUCCCCCUCCCCUUGUUCUUUUUCUCGCUUUCUUUUUGGUCAUGUCCAUGGCCAUGGCCAUCUGUCUUUCCCAAUCCCUCAUUUUGAUGGAUUCUUUUCUUUUGUCGCUGCGGUGCCUCGUCGCUGCAUGCCGUGCGAGUGGGUCUCUGUUGGCGGUGAUCGGCCUCGUGAACUUUAUGCGCGGGCAUGGUCGGUACUGCGCGCCGCGACACCGCAUUCAACGGCUUUCCCACCCACCCAUCCCGCCGCUUCGUCCUUCCGCCCUGCAACCGCGUGCGCUUUUGUUUUCCUUCCUCUUUCUCUUUGGCUUUAUAAGAAAAACUGGAGGACGGAGGCGCGCCUCACAGUGCGUGGUAUCUCAGGGUCCACGGCACCACCACUCUAUUUCGGUGGGAGGAAGCCAGGGAGCCCCUCCCUACCCCUGUCAAUGCACAGCCACCUCUGGUGGUGUGACAGGGCCGAGCGUCUGCGACGUGGGGAGGUCAGCGCGAUGCGCCCCUACUGACGUCGGCGAUGCGGUCCUGGGUGGCGUUGCGUCGGAGAGACCUGCGACAAUGCACAGGUUUGUACCACCUAUAUGAUAGGCAAUUCAUCAGCGUAACUCGAGCGUGUAUCCUGCCCGGCCCUCACACUGCCCACUGGUGGUGGGGCGAAUCUGAGCCGCCCCGAGGCUGAUGCGCCAGGCGACUACCGGCGUAAUAAGGCCGGAUGUGGGUAGAGUUUGAGGCAGAGCCAGUGCGCCGACGCAGUCGUCGGCGCACUGCUUUAAUCUGUGUCUACCGCUGCUUUGCGCCACGGGCCUGGGUCUGUGACAUGCCGGGGCCGAGUGGAACUUAACUUCUGUUCUAGGGUCGAGUGUACACGUUGAGCAAAAACAAAGAAACACCUUUCAAUCUUUUUUGCCCACUGUCAAGGUGUCUUAG
rnacentral:misc_RNA from 1 species